rnacentral:ncRNA from 1 species
GUCAGAAUUUUGGCAAUAUACGGAAUGAGGGGCAAAUUUAGGACCAGCAAAAUCAAAUUGCCCAGAUACAUCGAGACAAUGACGGACCAAAAUAUCUCAGGUUGAUCCACCAUCAGCCGCGGCCC